UACGAAGGGGGCGAGCGUUGUUCGGAGUUACUGGGCGUAAAGGGCGCGUAGGCGGCGAUCCAAGUUAGGCGUGAAAGCCCCGGGCUUAACCGGGGAACUGCGCUUGAUACUGGAUGGCUUGAGUUUGGGAGAGGGAUGCGGAAUUCCAGGUGUAGCGGUGAAAUGCGUAGAUAUCUGGAGGAACACCGGUGGCGAAGGCGGCAUCCUGGACCAACACUGACGCUGAGGAGCGAAAGCUAGGGGAGCAAACGGGG
rnacentral:rRNA from 1 species